rnacentral:lncRNA from 1 species
UAUUUUUGAAAGAUCCCCGAUAAAUAAAUUCACUUUUAAAUAGUAUAAGUGUGUGUAUUAAGUCAUUUUAAUAGUUUAAGUGUGUCUUCAACUUUUCGAGUAUAGUUUAAGGGGAAAAUGAUGACUUUAUCCAUAAAGAUAUUUAGAACAAUGUGGAAAGGAUGUUCAUGGCGGACAAAAUAAAGAGGAGAAACUGAGAUAAUUCCUGUACGAGAAAAGGAGAUACACCGAUGUCCGGUGAGGAAGUGUGAGAUACGGACCAUAUAGGGUAUAGCAAGUGGUAGAAGUAGGCGAAAAUAUUACAGAGAAGUGAUUAGACUAAACAUGACACACCUACAACUUACCGAGCAUAUGAUCCUAGAUAUGAGAAUAUAAAUGCCAAGAUAUCAAUAGAAGAUUAAUAGGUAGUCGAGUGUCAUCUAAUUUUACUUAUCCUUAUUGUUAUGAUUACUCUCCUGCUAUCUCAUUCUUCGAUUUUGCUAUUAUUACUAGGUGGAUCCGUUACUUCAAUUACUAUAUUAUUUGUUGUUGUUAUUAUUUUCUUUUUUUAAUUAUUUUUAACAUAAUUACCUACUAUACUUAAUCUUUUUAAUAUAUUUUAGUUGAGUUGACGUUUUAUCGGAAACAACCUUUCUGGUUUUACAAGGUUGAAACAAGUGUGCAUACUAUCAUCC